AUUUUAGGGGCGAACAGAGCUGAGGGUAAAUCUUUGGAGUACAUACAUACUACAUAGGCCAGGGUUCCGAUUCCAUGUCCCGCUUCCUCAUCCGCAUAUAGUGCACCUCCUCACUCUCUCAAAUGUUUCGCAGAGUUCUCUGCAAUUCUCUCCAACUUCAUCCCCAACUCCAAAUCCUUCGCCCAAAACCAUUGAAACCCAUUUCUCCAAUCCAAAGCCUCAAACCCAUUUCGCAAUUUUCAGAGACUCGCCGGUUCUCCUCUCAAAUGAGCGAUGCCCGAAGACCCAUUUCGGUUCCCAUUCCGGAAGUCGAGAAAGCCGACCCCACCGAGCUUUUACGCGCUUUAGAGACCUCUCUUGGUUCGGGUUUCAGCCCCUUCCCAUUAUGGCCUAACCCAAACCCUCUCAUCAUCGUCGUGAGCGGGCCCAGUGGUGUGGGCAAGGACGCUGUGAUCAAGAAACUGAGGGAAACCCGUCAAGGUCUUCACUUUGUGGUUACGGCGACGAGCCGAGAUAUGAGACCCGGCGAGGUUCAUGGGAAAGAUUACUACUUUGUUAGCAAAGAUGAGUUUUUGGGUAUGGUGGAAAGGGAUGAGCUUUUGGAGUAUGCUCUUGUUUAUGGUGAUUAUAAGGGUAUUCCUAAACAGCAGAUAAGAGAGUUCAUGGCUAAAGGUUAUGAUAUUGUGCUGAGAGUUGAUAUUCAGGGUGCUGAAACUUUGAGGGGGAUUUUUGGGCAGUCUGCGGUUUUCGUGUUUGUGAUGGCCGAGAGUGAAGUGAAGCUCGUGGAGAGGUUGAUUGGUAGGAAGACUGAGACUAAAGAAGCACUUCUUGUGAGAGUUGCUACGGCUAGGGAGGAGAUCAAGCAUGUUAAGAAUUUUGAUUAUGUGGUUGUGAAUGCUGAAGGGAAGUUGGAUAAUGCGGUUAAGUUGAUGGAGUCCAUUAUUGAUGCUGAGAAAGCUAAGGUCCGCCAGAGGAAUGUUGUCAUAUGAUUUGGUUCGUUGGAGUUUGCGUUUCAGUUAAAUGAUAUGAAUCUGAGGGAAAACUCAGUGCUUUAAGUUAUCAAUGUUUUUGGCAAUGCACAUUUAGCUGCUUGGAGAGGAAGGAAAUAUUAUUCUGUUUUAUUUGGUUAUCUCAUGACUUCCAUUUGCCUGUUGUGGAAAGUUUCUAGUGGAAUUCUCUUGUUGCUAAUAAAGAAGUUCAGUUCAGUUCAGGUGAUCAUGGCUGCAAGAAAAAAAAAUUACAAGCUUAGUUUUUUGUACCCCAUUUCCAAGUUGUGUGAAAACAAUCAUCAACUAUACAUGUUUUUGCUUCUGGUAUUUUUUCGGUCAUUAGAUGCCAUGGAAACAGAUUUGUUGUCUACAUUGUAAAUCCCCAGUCAUACAGAUGAUGAUAUCAAAAGGGACAUCAUAGAAAUUUGAUAAUUGCAUAGUGAUCCUUCUUGUGUUCAGAGCAACUUCAGGGCUCAAAUGUAAAAGUUCAUACUGAUAUUCUUUGGAAUCUAUAAUAGGAUGUAGCAAUUUUAUGAAAUUAGUUUUCACUUUUUUGUUUGAUAUCAUAUAAAAUAGCUUGUUAAUUUUUCUACAAGGUACCAAGAUACCUCUUUGAUGAAUGUUGAGCAUUACUUGGCUUGCCCCUAUUAAA